AUUGAACGCUGGCGGAAUGCUUUACACAUGCAAGUCGAACGGCAGCACGGGGGCAGCCCUGGUGGCGAGUGGCGAACGGGUGAGUAAUACAUCGGAACGUGCCCGGUCGUGGGGGAUAACGUAGCGAAAGUUACGCUAAUACCGCAUACGAUCUGAGGAUGAAAGCGGGGGACCUUCGGGCCUCGCGCGAUCGGAGCGGCCGAUGUCAGAUUAGGUAGUUGGUGGGGUAAAGGCCUACCAAGCCGACGAUCUGUAGCUGGUCUGAGAGGACGACCAGCCACACUGGGACUGAGCAACGGCCAAGACCCCUCGGGGGGGCAGCGGGGGGGAAUUUUGGAAAAUGGGCGAAAGCCUGAUCCAGCCAUUCCGGGGGAAGGACGAAGGCCUUCGGGUUGUAAACUGCUUUUGUACGGAAAAAAAAGGCUCUGGCUAAUACCUGGGGCUCAUGGCGGUACCGAAAAAAAAAGCACCGGCUAACUACGU
rnacentral:rRNA from 1 species